GCGAGCGUUGUCCGGAAUUAUUGGGCGUAAAGAGCUUGUAGGCGGCUUGUCGCGUCUGCUGUGAAAGCCCGGGGCUUAACCCCGGGUCUGCAGUGGGUACGGGCAGGCUAGAGUAUGGUAGGGGAGACUGGAAUUCCUGGUGUAGCGGUGGAAUGCGCAGAUAUCAGGAGGAACACCGAUGGCGAAGGCAGGUCUCUGGGCCAUAACUGACGCUGAGAAGCGAAAGCGUGGGGAGCGAACAGGAUUAGAUACCCUGGUAGUCCACGCCGUAAACGUUGGGCGCUAGGUGUGGGUCCCAUUCCACGGGAUCCGUGCCGCAGCUAACGCAUUAAGCGCCCCGCCUGGGGAGUACGGCCGCAAGGCUAAAACUCAAAGGAAUUGACGGGGGCCCGCACAAGCGGCGGAGCAUGCGGAUUAAUUCGAUGCAACGCGAAGAACCUUACCAAGGCUUGACAUGCACCGGACGACUGCAGAGAUGUGGUUUCCCUUUGUGGCUGGUGCACAGGUGGUGCAUGGUUGUCGUCAGCUCGUGUCGUGAGAUGUUGGGUUAAGUCCCGCAACGAGCGCAACCCUCGUUCUAUGUUGCCAGCGGUUCGGCCGGGGACUCAUAGGAGACUGCCGGGGUCAACUCGGAGGAAGGUGGGGAUGACGUCAAAUCAUCAUGCCCCUUAUGUCCAGGGCUUCACACAUGCUACAAUGGUCGGUACAGCGAGUUGCCACACCGUAAGGUGGAGCUAAUCUCUUAAAGCCGGCCUCAGUUCGGAUUGGGGUCUGCAACUCGACCCCAUGAAGUCGGAGUCGCUAGUAAUCGCAGAUCAGCAACGCUGC
rnacentral:rRNA from 1 species